rnacentral:rRNA from 1 species
AGCGAACGCUGGCGGCAGGCUUAACACAUGCAAGUCGAACGGGCGUAGCAAUACGUCAGUGGCAGACGGGUGAGUAACGCGUGGGAACGUACCUUUUGGUUCGGAACAACCCAGGGAAACUUGGGCUAAUACCGGAUAAGCCCUUACGGGGAAAGAUUUAUCGCCGAAAGAUCGGCCCGCGUCUGAUUAGCUAGUUGGUGUGGUAACGGCGCACCAAGGCGACGAUCAGUAGCUGGUCUGAGAGGAUGAUCAGCCACAUUGGGACUGAGGCACGGCCCAAACUCCUACGGGAGGCAGCAGUGGGGAAUAUUGGACAAUGGGCGCAAGCCUGAUCCAGCCAUGCCGCGUGAGUGAUGAAGGCCCUAGGGUUGUAAAGCUCUUUUGUGCGGGAAGAUAAUGACGGUACCGCAAGAAUAAGCCCCGGCUAACUUCGUGCUAGCAGCAGCCGCAGUAAU